AUGUUGAAUGGUGCGGCGUGCAGCGAGGAGAGAACUGUAGCUGGUGGUGGCGCCGCCAUGUCCGGUUUCAGCGAGAGCGAGGGUGACAAUGGAGAAGCUCUUGACGAGGCGGAGGGGGAAGCACACUUUGAUGGAGACCAAGAGGCUGUGAUUCAAGAUCAAACUGAUAGUGCUGAUGGAUGUUCUGCUCAAUCUACAGGCAAGGUGGAUCCGCAAGCACCUGGCUGGACAAAAAGAGUAAGAGUCGGCAAUCAACCGCCAGACAGGGCUCCAUGCCCGGCAAGGGUAGGCGCUGAUGCAGUUUCCUCAUAG
rnacentral:rRNA from 1 species